rnacentral:rRNA from 1 species
GACGAACGCUGGCGGCGUGCUUAACACAUGCAAGUCGAACGAUGAAGCACCAGCUUGCUGGUGUGGAUUAGUGGCGAACGGGUGAGUAACACGUGAGUAACCUGCCCCUCACUCUGGGAUAAGCCUGGGAAACUGGGUCUAAUUCUGGAUACGACCGAUCUCCGCAUGGAAUGUUGGUGGAAAGUUUUUGUGGUGGGGGAUGGACUCGCGGCCUAUCAGCUUGUUGGUGGGGUAAUGGCCUACCAAGGCGACGACGGGUAGCCGGCCUGAGAGGGCGACCGGCCACACUGGGACUGAGACACGGCCCAGACUCCUACGGGAGGCAGCAGUGGGGAAUAUUGCACAAUGGGCGAAAGCCUGAUGCAGCGACGCCGCGUGAGGGAUGACGGCCUUCGGGUUGUAACCCUCUUUCACCAGGGACGAAGCUAACGUGACGGUACCUGGAGAAGAGGCACCGGCUAACUACGUG